UUCACAAUGCAGAUGCUGUGUGUUGCUGUGGUAGCCGUUGCCGUCCUUGGCGUCGUCUCUGGGUCAACAAUCUCGCCUGACCCACAGUUCGUGUGGGGCAAAUGGUCCACGUGGAGCGAGCGUGU